rnacentral:rRNA from 1 species
CAAAUUUAAAAUCUACCUGGUUUCCAGGUCGAGUUGUAAUUUGAAGAUACGUUUUUGACGUUCCGGGUUGAACUAAAUCCUUUGGGAUAAGGUAUCAUGGAGGGUGAGAAUCCCGUAUAUACCAACCGUAGGGAUGUUAUUUAAUACGUUUCUAAGAGUCGAGUUGUUUGGGAAUGCAGCUCUAAAUGGGUGGUAAAUUUCACCUAAUGCUAAAUAUAAGCGAGAGACCGAUAGCGAACAAGUACAGUGAUGGAAAGAUGAAAAGAACUUUGAAAAGAGAGUUAAAUAGUAYGUGAAAUUGUUGAAAGGGAAACGAUUGAAGUCAGUCAUGCCVGUGGGAAUCAACUUWGAGGAAACUCUGAGUGCACUUCUUCGCUUGGCAGGUCAACGUCGAUUUUGGAUGUCAUAAAAUGAUUGGGGGAAGGUAGCUCYUUCGGGAGUGUUAUAGCCCUUGGUAGAUGUGAUGUCUGGGAUCGAGGAUUGCAAUGGAUACCCUUUGGGGCUAGCCGCCUGAUCUCUAAUYGGUAUUGGGUUACGGAUAGCAUGCUGACCGUGAUCUAAUUAUUGGUUAAAAGGUUAG